rnacentral:lncRNA from 1 species
AGGGAUGAUGGUCCGGAGAGUGAUCUGUUGGUUUCGGUAGAUGGCGUAGACGUGGAGUUCGUCGUAGUAGAUUCCGAUUCGGCGGUUUGGGUUGCGGGAGGAAACAGUGAGGAGGAAAUUGGAGGUGAGGAAGCUGGGGACGGUGGCGUUGAAGGCGUAGACGGUGACGUCUUGAAGGAAGAAAGUGGGUUUGGUGGGACGGAGGACGGCCCAGACGAUGAGGAUGGUGAGGAGGACGAGGAAGAUGAAGAUGCCGAUGAUUGCGCCGAUUAGUUUGAUGAGCUUCUUGCGUUUUUUCUUGCAGUGCUUCUCGCAGUCGUAGGCCAUGGGUGUUCCGGGCGGCGAAGAAGAAGAAAGGAAAUGGCGUUUGUGUUAAAUGAGCAGUGG